rnacentral:lncRNA from 1 species
AGAAACAGUUGAUAAGCUGUUGGAAUAAAUGGUUUGGAUCACCAUUGCAAAUAUGGUACAGAGUUUGUUGCCUGGCUGAGCUUUGUGCACAGUUAUAACGUGAGAUAAUCAGAGAAAUCUAGUUGCCUCGAGGAAAGGAGUCAAAUAGGCUGAUGAAAGAAGAAAGGGUUCACCCAUGGUGGUAUACUCGGUUUGCACAAUAGUCAGCAAAAUAGGAAAUUCAUGGCAGCUGCAAUUAUCCGCAUUACCAUGCAAUCAUCCAUGCUGCAAUGUAAUCAUCCUAACUUUUCCACCUCGGGUCCCACGCGUUGUGAUUCUC